GUUUGAUUCUGGCUCAGGACGAACGCUGGCGGCGUGCCUAACACAUGCAAGUCGAGCGAUGAAGCUCCUUCGGGAGUGAAUUAGCGGCGGACGGGUGAGUAACACGUGGGUAACCUGCCUCAUAGAGGGGAAUAGCCUUCCGAAAGGGAGAUUAAUACCGCAUAACAUAGCACUACCGCAUGGUAGAGUUAUCAAAGGAGCAAUCCGCUAUGAGAUGGACCCGCGGCGCAUUAGCUAGUUGGUGAGGUAACGGCUCACCAAGGCGACGAUGCGUAGCCGACCUGAGAGGGUGAUCGGCCACAUUGGAACUGAGACACGGUCCAGACUCCUACGGGAGGCAG
rnacentral:rRNA from 1 species